UGGAGUCAGCCACACCAACACUUGAUCACUAACUGGACGUUUGGAUAUGUUCUAGAUGCAUCUAUGAAACAAAAUGUUUUUCAACCAACUUGUGGAUUUUGAAGAAUGGCCACCAAGCAUUUCUGGACAGGUGACUGUGCCAACAUUAAAAGCUGUGCUGUGCCAUCCAGUGGGUGGUGGCGGGCGCCUGACAGGGCUGCCUGCUCACAGCAGCACACACAGGUGGGCUUCCCACUUAGAAGAUACCUGAUGUGUACUACAAAUCCACAUGCUGAAUUAUGCAACUCACAUUAUCGUUUUGAGGUUCCUCUUCUGUAGCAGCUUGGAUGCUAUAAGCCAAGAAA